GAUCCUGGCUCAGGAUGAACGCUGGCGGCGUUGCUUAACACAUGCAAGUCGAACGAAGCACUUUUACAGAUUUCUUCGGAAUGAAGUUUAGUGACUGAGUGGCGGACGGGUGAGUAACGCGUGGGUAACCUGCCUCACACAGGGGGAUAACAGUUGGAAACGGCUGCUAAUACCGCAUAAGCGCACAGUACCGCAUGGUACAGUGUGAAAAACUCCGGUGGUGUGAGAUGGACCCGCGUCUGAUUAGCUAGUUGGCAGGGCAAACGGGCCUACCAAGGCGACGAUCAGUAGCCGACCUGAGAGGGUGACCGGCCACAUUGGGACUGAGACACGGCCCAAACUCCUACGGGAGGCAGCAGUGGGGAAUAUUGCACAAUGGGGGAAACCCUGAUGCAGCGACGCCGCGUGAGCGAAGAAGUAUUUCGGUAUGUAAAGCUCUAUCAGCAGGGAAGAAGAAAUGACGGUACCUGACUAAGAAGCACCGGCUAAAUACGUG
rnacentral:rRNA from 1 species